AUGAAGAGGGCUCACAAGGUGGUCCUGGCCCAGCCGGCGGCGGCGGCGGCGCCGCCGCCUCGGCCGCUGCCUCGCGCGCCCCGGCCAGUCCGCGGCGACGGGGGCGAGGCGUUCAGGGCGAGCCAGAGGUACCAGAGCCUCCUCCAGGACUACAAGGAGCUCCUCAAGGAAACUGCAGCAAAGAAGAACAGAUUGCAUUUGGAGAAGCUGAAGAAGCAAAGGCUUUCGGCUGAAGUCAAGUUUUUGCGAAGAAGGUACAAAUCAAUGUCCGAAAAUCCAUCUCAGACUGCUGUUUAUAGACUGAAGAACCCGGCAAUGACGCCUACUUCCCGGACCGCCGUGUGGGUUGAUCACCAUGGGCCUGUUCAGGCUGUCGGGAGUUCAAGCAAAGUUCAUCUGCCCGCACAGCAGCAAAGGCAGCAUCUGGUUCCACGGGCGUCUCCGGUUAUCGACCUCAACGAGGCUUGUGAGCUGAGUUCCUCCGAGGAGACGGAAGAAUUUCAUGGUUACCAGGAGACUGUUAGGGUGGACAAGGUGAACAGGUACCUGUUAGAGGGCAAUGUUGUCGCCGGUCCCAGUGACUCGAAAAUGCCGACGUUCUGGGAUGCCCGGAACCCUGCGGCGACGCGUGCUGGGAAGAGGAAGAUCUCAUGGCAGGAUCAGUUGGCUCUUAGAGUAUAG
rnacentral:rRNA from 1 species